rnacentral:lncRNA from 1 species
AAACUUUCCAUUACAAGAAAAUGGUUCUCCAAACUCAGAGGUGCCCUGGAACUGCCGUCCCACACCACCAUGGUCCUACCUGCCAACAGCAAAGCUAUUCAACAUACCAAGAAACCGGUGGCAGAAUCCAGGAUGGUGGCUACACCAACUUCUCAACCAUAACCGGGCCCACACCUCCAUACUUAAACUAUUCUCAGGUGUCAACCUACUCAUCGGAUAAUUCUCAGCACCACCAAUCCGGUGGUGGCUACCAUGGAUACGGUGCCCCCCAGUACUCUGGUGGUGGUGUGGUUGCUAGUGGACAGCCACAUACCGGAAGAUAUGAAACUUUUUACCAUGGGAAUUCACAGAGCCAUGGGCAUGGAAAUGGCCCGACUUAUGGUUACCAAAAAGAAUCUUG